rnacentral:rRNA from 1 species
AGAGGUGGCAAGCGUUGUUCGGAAUUACUGGGCGUAAAGGGCGCGUAGGCGGCCAUCUAAGUCAGACGUGAAAUCCCCCGGCUUAACCUGGGAACUGCGUCUGAUACUGGGAGGCUUGAGUAUGGGAGAGGGAUGUAGAAUUCCAGGUGUAGCGGUGAAAUGCGUAGAUAUCUGGAGGAAUACCGGUGGCGAAGGCGGCAUCCUGGACCAUUACUGACGCUGAGGCGCGAAAGCUAGGGGAGCAAACGGGAUUAGAUACCCCGGUAGUCCUAGCCAUAAACGAUGACAACUAGACGUUGGGGGCAUAUGGCCCACAGUGUCGCAGCUAACGCGUUAAGUUGUCCGCCUGGGGAGUACGGCCGCAAGGUUG